rnacentral:rRNA from 1 species
CACGUAGGGGGCAAGCGUUGUCCGGAUUUAUUGGGCGUAAAGAGCUCGUAGGUGGCUGAGUAAGUCGGAUGUUAAAUCCCCAGGCUCAACCUGGGACACCACCCGAUACUGCUCUGGCUAGAGUCCGGUAGGGGAGCGUGGAAUUCCCGGUGUAGCGGUGAAAUGUGUAGAGAUCGGGAGGAACACCGGUGGCGAAGGCGGGUCUCUGGGCAAUUCCUGACGCUGAGGCGCGAAAGCCAGGGGAGCAAACGGG